rnacentral:rRNA from 1 species
GAUGAACGCUGGCGGCGUGCCUAAUACAUGCAAGUCGAGCGAACAGACGAGGAGCUUGCUCCUCUGACGUUAGCGGCUGACGGGUGAGUAACACGUGGAUAACCUACCUAUAAGACUGGGAUAACUUCGGGAAACCGGAGCUAAUACCGGAUAAUAUAUUGAACCGCAUGGUUCAAUAGUUAAAGACGGUUUUGCUGUCACUUAUAGAUGGAUCCGCGCCGCAUUAGCUAGUUGGUAAGGUAACGGCUUACCAAGGCAACGAUGCGUAGCCGACCUGAGAGGGUGAUCGACCACACUGGAACUGAGACACGGUCCAGACUCCUACGGGAGGCAGCAGUAGGGAAUCUUCCGCAAUGGGCGAAAGCCUGACGGAGCAACGCCGCGUGAGUGAUGAAGGUCUUCGGAUCGUAAAACUCUGUUAUUAGGGAAGAACAAAUGUGUAAGUAAAUAUGCACGUCUUGACGGUACCUAAUCAGAAAGCCACGGCUAACUACGUG